rnacentral:rRNA from 1 species
AAUGAACGUUGGCGGUGUGGAUUAGGCAUGCAAGUCGUGCGCGAAACGUAGCAAUACGUGGAGAGCGGCGAAAGGGAGAGUAAUGCAUGGUUAGCUACCCUCGGGUCUGGGAGUAGCGGCGGGAAACUGCCGGUAAUACCAGAUGACGUCUGCGGACCAAAGGUGUGAUUCCGCCCGAGGAGGUGACCGUGUCCUAUCAGCUUGUUGGCAGGGUAACGGCCUACCAAGGCAAAGACGGGUAUGGGGCGUGAGAGCGUGCCCC